AUGCUGUGAGUAUGGACUAUACAAAGAAAGAGAAGCAUAUCUCCUUAUGCUCCUGCAUUCAAAAACUUCUUCCCAUUGUAGGAGACAAGAAAUGAAGCAGAAGAAGGAGCACAGAUUUUGGGGUCAAACUGUCUUUUACUGAGGUAGAGUGGAGCAUUCAGAGAGAGUGCCUGAAGGAGCAGAGGGGACAGAAGAGUCUGUUGGCCUGGACUUUGAGAAGGCUUCCUGAAGCAGCAGGAAGAACUUGAGAAAGACCUUUAAGCAUGCUGGGAUUUGUAUUCGUGGAUGAAAGUAUGAGGGCAUCCUAGGUAGAAGAUACAGCAUGAGCAAAGGACCAGGAGCAGACAUGAAUGAGGUGUGAUGAGAACUUAAAUCGGAGAGUUUGGGUCAUGGAGAAGCAAAUGAGACCAGAAAGCCACUGGGGUUUCUUAAACAGGGGCUUGUCGUUCUGAAAAUGGGGUUAAGUACAGAAGAGACUAAACAUUUAUUGAGCUACAAUUAUCUCUAAUACUUACUACUACUCUGAAACUAUUAUCUCCAAUUUAUAUAUAAAAAUACUGAGGCUUAUAGAGAUAAAACAAAUUGUCAGAGUUCAUAUAACCAGUAAGUGGGAGAGCCAAGAAUGUAGCAGGAGUGUUAAGACAGAAGAAGUUUUGAGAAGAGAGGGUAAAAUUUAGGUGGGAAAAGAUAGAGCAAAUUAUAAUUUGUGAAAUUCUGUGCAGAGCCUUAAGGGCUGAGAGUACGAACUUGAGUGAAAGUUCAAGGAUGCAUUCCCUCCCUUUGAGAAGGAUUUUGAGGUGGUGGGUUCUAGAUGCUGUUCUCAGCGCUAUCCAAUGACCCAAGGGCCCAAUAAUAUUGUCUUAAUUUCCUGUGCUGGGGAAAGCUCUUUCCAGCACCAUCUGGUGGCAUCUACCUGAAUUGCUGGUGUAGAACCAAGGAGGAGAUGCGUACCCUCUGGUGCAAAGCUUCCCUAAGUGUGGCAAAGAAAUAAUGUCUUGUUUCUGCCUUUUCUAUCACUUCUAAGGAUAUCUAUCUAUCUAGUGCCUAGCAAAGUAGAUAUCUGAUACCCAUUAGGUUCCUUCUUACCACUAUAAUGUCUGGGUGUUGGUUCUCAAACUUUAUUGUGUGCCAAAAUCCCAUGUGGAGUUUGUUAAUGGUAUCCUCCCACCCCUAGGCUCUAAUUUAGUAGAUCUGGGGUGCAUCUAUGAAAGCCAGAUUUUAAUAAGCCCCAGGGGGUUUCAGUGCAAUUGGCCCCUGGAGCUCACUUAGGGAAGCUUGACUCCAGAAAGUAUGCAUCUCUUCAUGGGCUAUAAGCCAGCGAUUCAGAUAGAUGCCAAUAGAGGCUGCUUGGCAAAGCCUUACUAGGUACUUUAUUCCUUGUCUCUUGGCCCAUUUUUAGAAGAAGGGAGUCUUCACUCUGGGAAUGGGAGGAUCUUCAAUGAGCAGGGACUAAUUUUUCCAGCUGACUCUGAAUAAAGAUCUACAAAAGCUGUCAGCCAGACCCACUCCAUCACUAAAAUAAAGCAACUAUGUGUCUGAAUAAGCCCUGGCCUGGCAAUAUUGGACCUUUCCUUGCUGCUAAUUCAUUCAAUGAUAUUGGGCAGGACUGUCUUGAUUGCUCCGUUCAGUUCCUAUGUCUGAAAACUGAAGGGAUCAAAGUAAAUGAACCUAAGGUGCCCGGGUUCUCUGACACAUUUGUUAACCCUCAUAAUCUCCUUCUGCCUCCCAUGAGGCAAGACUCUCCCUUCACCUAGCCUACUUUAGAGGGGCUGCCCAUCCUUCCCUCUGCAGGUACCUCUCAGGCUAAUGUUCUUUUGUGAGCCCAACAUGGGGCCUCACAUUCACAGAGCAGAUUAAAGAGAUUUGGUUUAAGGUCAUCCAGUUGGAAAGUGAGAGAAGCUGACCAUUUGUGGAGUCUGGAUCCAGCUCACCAGCUCUAAGUUUGUUCCCCUUUCUCAUUCACUGUGGAUGGUGGUAAGGAUGUUUUUGAGUGUUUUGAAUUUAGUGCCAGGGAAGCUGGGCUGAGUUCAUGUAUAGCUGAGAGAUCAUGGGGAAAUGGCCACCACAUUGCACAAAUCCAGGGGCACAAUUGACAUUGCAACCUAUAUGAAGGUGCUCCCUGGAGUUGUGUUAUGAGGAAUCUGAGUGGUUUUAUGUGAUGUCCCUGGCAGUGCAUCAUAGUUUUGGUGGUAUUUUCUUUUCCUUUCAAGAGGCUAUUAAUGGUCCCUUUUAGAAACUAUCUUUGCAUAUUACAGAAAGCUAGGUGGAUAGCUCUUGAAUAUAGCAAUCCAUGGUAGACACAGACAGUAUUCAUAGAGUCCACUUUAGCUAAGUGUAGAAGCCAUCAGCUCAGGAGUUCAUGAUACUGCAUUUAAGUGGGGAUCAUCUUCCCUAUCUUACCCUACAUGCAAGAAGUUGGAGAUUUCCAUAGAAAUUCCGGUAAAGUGGAAGAUGCUUUUUAGUGUUGCAUGGAGCUAGAAGGUCAAGGUCUUCCAGAAAAGUGCAGCCUCCUCUAUCCAUCUCCCAAAUCGUUGAUGCCCUUUCACCUACCCAGGACUUGCUGUGACCUGACAAGCAAAACAGCAAGGGUGAAAAUCCCCUUAUGACAAUUCAUGCCAGCCUGUCUUGCACAAAUUUGAGAGCAUUUCCUUAAAUUCUGCACCCUGGGUGGCUCACUCACCUCAUUCUAGUGCCAACCCUAUGACAUUUAAAUCACCUAUUUGGGUGUCAGUCCUGUGUUAGGUAUUAGGGUACAGAAAUCAAGAAAAUAUGGCCCUGCCUACAAGGACUUGACAUACAGUUGGAGAGGCCAUCAGGAAAUCCAGUGAUUCUGACUUGCCUUGAGAUUCACUAGGUGGGAACACAGAAGUUCCAAUGGAGCAACAAGUGAGGUACCUGGUCUACCUGGGAGGUUGAGAAGCCUUCCCUGAAAGGAUAUAGUCCUAGAGCAGAGACUUAAAAGGUGAGGAGGAGUCUGAAGGGGAGGGAGUGAGAACAGCAUGGACAAAGUCCCCAAGGCAAGAGAGAGAUGAGUUUGGAAAACCACACAUUGAUUAGUAUGACUGAGAUGAAAAUUGCAUGGGCUUCAUACUGGGGGGAGGGAGUGGGCAGUGGCCAGAGAGGCAAAGCGUGAUGGAGCCUGCAUUCCAUGCAAAAUUAUAAGAAUUUCUAUCCUGAAAACUGUGGGGAGCUGCUGAAGAAUUUUGAGCAGGAAAAUAACAUGAUCAGAAUUGCAUUUUAGAAGUAUCACUCUGGUGGAAAUGUGGAGAUUCAACUGAACAGAGGUGAGAACAGAGACAGAAUGAGCAGUUAGACCAUGAUUGCAAGAGUCCAGGUGAGGGGCACCAAGAUGGAAAGGAUCCAAUCCACUGUCAUAACUCCCUUGCGUCACUACUAGGAAGGAAAAUUGCCUCCAGCCUUCUCCAGCUCUGGCAGGGAAGUUUCAGUUAUCUGGGUGAGGAUAAGCUUCUCCAGGAGUCCAAGGUAGGAGAACUUGGGGGACUUUUUCUGCUCCAUGAUGUAGAAUCUCUUGCAGACCCAGGGUCUGCUGUGGUGGGACCAGAUAGUGCCUUUCAAGCCUGGGCUGAGUGGAGGAGGGGUGCCUUUGGCCACAGAAAGAAGAGCCCAGAGACCGCCCCUGGGAAAUCUUCCUUUCAGGACUGAGCUCCUGCACUUACGGGUGGAGUAGGAGCAAGGAAGCAGUGGCAUUAUGGGGCAUCUGUGAAGUGCCAGUGAAGGCUGCAUCGUGGCUGUGUUCCAUGGUAACCGUUUCCAGGAAGAGCAGCACCGGAGGAGUGCAGGUUCUGAAGACUUUCAAUCAGCCCCAAAGCUUAGCCAGACAAAACGUCGUGUUGCUGGCUUCACAGCCUCCGCGGACACCAAAGGGAGAGGGUAUGACGUGGGCAAACAUUCUCCUAGGUUAUUGCAGGAACUGUGAUCACAAGGACCAUGAGCGCAGCUGCCUCCCGGGGCUCGAUCACAGGAGAGGAGCCCAGGGCCAGAGGUCCCUGAACUGCAGACCAGAGCAUGUGGCUGCAGGAGAGGAAUGAGGCAGAGAAAGCACAGCUACACACAGUGGAUUCCUGGCCUCUUUCCCAUCUCCCUGAGAAAGACUCAUCACGUCUCCACUGUGGCUCUGUGGGUAAUACCGGUAGAGAGGAAAGAGGAGGCUCUGGAGCCAGAUGGCCUGGAUCCGAAUCCCAGGCUGCUGCAACAGCUGGGCUCAGCAUUGAAAUGGGGACCAUCUGGGAGCCACACGACGGAGACUGAGUUGGCACCUUGAGAGGGAGGCAGAGCUGCGAUGCACAGAGCGGUGCUGAGGCAGACUCACAGCUAUGCAGCAAUCGCGUCCCCAGCCCAGCACCAGCACUACUGACUGGGAAAGGACUUCUCGCCCCGAUGCCUGCCCUGCUGCAAAAACCCCCUAGCUUCCUUUCAGCACAAAG
rnacentral:lncRNA from 1 species